CUUUCGGAGCUGUGCGGCAUUCUGAGCAGUUCUGUGGCAAAGGAGGAUGAAGGCUUACGAGGACUCGUCAGGAAGCUGGAUAACAGAGCGAGCGCAAUGUGCUAGAAUAGAAGACCAGAAAAUGAAAUGGUGGAGUUUGAGGCUGGAUAGACAGUUUGAAAGUUAACUGGUUGCAUGCUUGUUCAUUUGGCUGGCUUGCUUGGGUACAAAUAAUGGUUUGAAUAAAGAAAGGUAUUAAUGGGUCACCUCAAGUGAAGGCACUGCAAACACAAUGAUUGGUCAUUCUGAAUUUCCGGUCCUUCAUUCUGAAUUUCAAAGGCUCCUGUGACAAGUGGACAUGCAGUGACUGCACCUUUGUUUCUGAGGUGCCUGGAUGGAGGCUCAAAUAGAAGAUGGUGUCAGAUAUAUUGUGUUAAAAUUUUACCAUUAAAGUGUAUUAUAACAUGAA
rnacentral:lncRNA from 1 species